AAGCUAAAAGCGUGAUCUGAAAUUCCGUUCAUUUUGCGCCAGGCAUUACCAGGCUGCAUCUUGGCAGAUAAACAACCUACAGACGGCGCAAGGUUGGAUCGCGAUCGGCGGCACAUCAACUCAAAAGCGCCGACUGGCUGAAGACCGGCAAACUGCAAAACAGUCUAAUAGAAGACAAGCGGACGUCGACGUUCCAUAUCUCCUGCGCCUCCCAGUGGUGGAAGAAGGCACCGCGGCAAUGCUAUUCACGCUCUGGCUGAAUCUGAACUGGAAGGAUGGACGCCGUCUGACCAGGCAAGUUAUUUUGUCUUUUUGCAAGCAUGCGAUUCAGCGCUUUCGACACUGCGUUUCAUCUGGAGCGAGCGUGCAUUUGGAUACGCGCCAUUUUCGAGGCAUCGGUCAUUUUAACAUUUGAUCUGCACCUGAUCUUUUCCUGAUCAAGAUAUUUUCUCGGUAUUUUCAAGCCUUUUCGAGCUUGCGUGUCAUUUGGAGCGAUGGUAUAUUUGGAUACGUGCCAUUUUCGAGGCAUCGGUCAUGUUCACAUUUUGAUCUUCAUCCGAUCUUUUCCUGAUCAAGAGGUCUUCGUGGUAUUUUCAGCCUUUUUGAGCUUGUGUGUCAUUUGGAGCGAUGAUAUAUUUGGAUACGCGCCAUUUUCGAGGCACCGGUCAUGUUCACAUUUUGAUCUGCAUCCGAUCUUUUCCUGAUCACGAUAUUUUCGCGGUAUUUUCAAGCCUUUCCGACCUUGUGUGUCAUUUGG